CUAUCCUCUGCCUGUGACAUCUGUCACCUCAUUGAUUCAGCUGAUCUGGCCGGCUAAGCAGGUGUCUCCUUCAUCCCUUACUGCUCCAUGUGCAUCCCUUCUGAAGCUGUGCUCACAGUGAAACAGGACAGCCUUCCCUGUCCUUCCCCAACCGAGGAGGGCAGGUCUUUAGUCAAGCGUGUAAGAGUAGCUGAGCUCAACUUUAGAACUUACAAACAAGCUCUCAGGGUCCAUUGAUUUGGCAUUUAAUGAUUCCAGUGAACAGAUAAAUCAGAAAAGACAAGUAUGCAUGAACAUAUAUCUU
rnacentral:snRNA from 1 species